ensembl:snRNA U6 U6 spliceosomal RNA
GUGCUCACUUCGGCAGCACAUGUACUGAAAUUGGAAUGAUACAGAGAUUAGCAUGGUCCCUGAGCAAGGAUGGCACGCAAUUUUGUGAAGCAUUCUAUAUUAAA